rnacentral:rRNA from 1 species
AUUGAACGCUGGCGGCAUGCCUUACACAUGCAAGUCGAACGGCAGCACGGGAGCAAUCCUGGUGGCGAGUGGCGAACGGGUGAGUAAUAUAUCGGAACGUGCCCAGUAGUGGGGGAUAGCCCGGCGAAAGCCGGAUUAAUACCGCAUACGACCUGAGGGUGAAAGCGGGGGAUCGCAAGACCUCGCGCUAUUGGAGCGGCCGAUAUCAGAUUAGCUAGUUGGUGGGGUAAAGGCCUACCAAGGCUACGAUCUGUAGUUGGUCUGAGAGGACGACCAGCCACACUGGGACUGAGACACGGCCCAGACUCCUACGGGAGGCAGCAGUGGGGAAUAUUGGGCAAUGGGCGAAAGCCUGACCCAGCGACACCGCGUGGGUGAUGAAAGCCUUCGGGUUGUAAAGCCCUUUCGUGCGGAAAGAACUGUUCCGCGGUUAAUACCCGCGGAAUUUGACGGUACCGCAGGAAGAAGCACCGGCUAACUCCGUG